CCGCCGGCGACCGGCGCACGGGUGAGUAACACGUAUGCAACCUGGCCGUGACAGAUGGAUAACCGGGAGAAAUCCCGCCUAAUACAACAUAAUGCCGGGAGGGGGACAUCCCCUGCCGGUCAAAGGGGGCGACCCCGGUCACGGAUGGGCAUGCGGCGCAUUAGGUAGUUGGUGGGGCAACGGCCCACCAAGCCGACGAUGCGUAGGGGUUCUGAGAGGAAGGUCCCCCACAUUGGAACUGAGACACGGUCCAAACUCCUACGGAAGGCAGCAG
rnacentral:rRNA from 1 species